rnacentral:rRNA from 1 species
GACGAACGCUGGCGGCGUGCCUAAUACAUGCAAGUCGAGCGAAGCGGCGGAUGGGUGAGUAACGCGUGGGUAACCUGCCCUUCAGUCUGGGAUACCAUUUGGAAACAGAUGUUAAUACCGGAUACUAAAGGAUGGACCUGCGAUGCAUUAGCUAGUUGGUAAGGUAACGGCUUACCAAGGCGAUGAUGCAUAGCCUAGGUUAGAGGCUGAUCAGCCACAUUGGGACUGAGACACGGCCCAAACUCCUACGGGAGGCAGCAGUAGGGAAUCUUUCACAAUGGGCGAAAGUCUGAUGGAGCAACGCCGCGUGAGUGAAGAAGGUUUUCGGGUCGUAAAGCUCUGUUGGUGGGGAAGCGGUAAUCAACCAAAAAGUCCCGGCUAACUACGUGCCAGCAGCCGCGGUAAUUC